rnacentral:lncRNA from 1 species
AACAUGAAGCCUGGCUCUGCUGUCCCACACAAUAUCCCAAAUUUCACCAGCCAGUAUUUUUAAUUUACUUCUGAGAAUUUUUGGAAAAAGACCACUCUGCUGUCAUCCUCCUGGGAUAAGCAAAAAGGAAAUGAAACUUUAAAAGACCUGAAAGGCUGUUUGGUGUUUCUUCCAUAGACUUUCACUAGAAGGUAGGCACAGAGAUAAUAUUCUUCAAGGUUAUUUUGACUAAAAUAUUAAAGGUCUUUUUCGUUUGUAUUAUUAAUAUGCUAAUAAUUGUAUUAUACAAGUGCUAAUGUUCACUGGGGGGUUUUAUGUAUUGCUUCUAUUUUCUUUAUAU